rnacentral:rRNA from 1 species
AUUGAACGCUGGCGGCAUGCCUUACACAUGCAAGUCGAACGGCAGCGCGGGAGCAAUCCUGGUGGCGAGUGGCGAACGGGUGAGUAAAGUAUCGGAACGUGCCCAGUCGUGGGGGAUAACGUAGCGAAAGUUACGCUAAUACCGCAUACGAUCUAUGGAUGAACGUGGGGGAUCGCAAGACCUCGCGCGAUUGGAGCGGCCGAUAUCAGCUUAGGUAGUUGGUGGGGUAAAGGCUCACCAAGCCGACGAUCUGUAGCUGGUCUGAGAGGACGGCCAGCCACACUGGGACUGAGAGACGGCCCGGACUCCUACGGGAGGCAGCAGUGGGGAAUUUUGGACAAUGGGCGAAAGCCUGAUCCAGCCAUGCCGCGUGCAGGAUGAAGGCCUUCGGGUUGUAAACUGCUUUUGUACGGAACGAAAAGGUUUGGCCUAAUAAGCUGAGCUCAUGACGGUACCGUAAGAAUAAGCACCGGCUAACUACGUGCCAGCCGCAGCGGUAA